rnacentral:rRNA from 1 species
UAGGGAAUAUUGCUUAAUGGGCGAAAGCCUGAAGCAGCAACGCCGCGUGAACGAAGAAGGCAUUCGGGUCGUAAAGUUCUUUUACGUGGGAUGAGGAAGGACAGUACCACGAGAAUAAGUCUCGGCUAACUACGUGCCAGCAGCCGCGGUAAAACGUAGGAGACGAGCGUUAUCCGGAUUUACUGGGCGUAAAGCGCGUGUAGGAGGCGCUACAAGUUGGAUGUGAAAGCUCCCGGCUUAACUGGGAGAGGUCGUUCAAGACUGUAGAGCUAGAGUGAGGUAGAGGUAGAUGGAACUCCGGGAGUAGUGGUGAAAUGCGUAGAUAUCCGGAAGAACACCAGAGGCGAAAGCGAUCUACUGGACCUAAACUGACACUGAGACGCGAAAGCCAGGGUAGCAAACGG